UACGAAGGGUGCAAGCGUUACUCGGAAUUACUGGGCGUAAAGCGUGCGUAGGUGGUUUGUUAAGUCUGAUGUGAAAGCCCUGGGCUCAACCUGGGAAUGGCAUUGGAUACUGGCAGGCUAGAGUGCGGUAGAGGGUAGUGGAAUUCCCGGUGUAGCAGUGAAAUGCGUAGAGAUCGGGAGGAACAUCUGUGGCGAAGGCGACUACCUGGACCAGCACUGACACUGAGGCACGAAAGCGUGGGGAGCAAACAGGAUUAGAUACCCUGGUAGUCCACGCCCUAAACGAUGCGAACUGGAUGUUGGGCUCAACUUGGAGCUCAGUAUCGAAGCUAACGCGUUAAGUUCGCCGCCUGGGGAGUACGGUCGCAAGACUG
rnacentral:rRNA from 1 species